UUUAUGGGUUUUCAUGUUUAACCUUUGACCGUUCGUCUUAUUUAAAAAAACUUUAAAAAAAUUUUAAAAGAUAAGUCAUGCAUAAAGUAUUAUUCAUGUUUUAUCAUCUAACAAUAAUGAAAAUACUAAUCAUAAAAAAAAUUUCAUAUAAGACAGACAAUCAAACGUUGAACACGGAAACCCAAG
rnacentral:pre_miRNA from 1 species